rnacentral:lncRNA from 1 species
AUCUGGAAGAAAACAAAACAAUAUAAUUCGUAAUGGGUGUAUCGGUCCAUAAUGAAAAUGACCAUUAAAUUAAAAAAAUAUUUUAAUUAUAUAUUUAAUCAAACUCGUGCUGCACGGGCACGGGUUUACAGACCCUAGUGUAUAAUAAUUGAAGGAAACAAAACAAUAUAAUUCGUAAUGGGUGUAUGGGUCCAUAAUGAAAAUUCAAUGAUCUUGUGAUGUACUACAACAAUGCCAGAUUCCAUAUAACUUCUCUUAUCUUCUCUUAUCCUUCCAGAUUCCAGCCUGCAACAACAAUGCCCUCUUUGUGAAAGCAAGGCAUGGCAUACAN